CUUGAUUCUGGUUCAAAAGGUUAGACUCCUGACAAUAGUUUGCAUCGCACUUCGGGCAAUCUACACGUUUCAAACAAUCACAACAAAUAAAUCACCACAUUCAAAUAACACCAAAUAAUACCAACAGUGAGACAUUAUUUUUAAAAUGAAAACAAAAAUAGCAUAACAGUAGGUACAAAUCAUCUACAUGCUGAUACAAUCACAACGCAAAAAGAAACAAUUAAUUUGGACGAACGAUUUGAGAGUUAUGGUUUCCGGUAGGUUGAAUUAAAAUAUAAACAAUGCAAAAGUGGAAUUUUAGUUCUACUAGAUUCUCCUUAUCAAUGCGAGUACAUAGGAAAAAGAAUCGAUGAAUUUGGAGUUACGGACCACAAGUUAUAGCCAAACAAAAAUUUGUUCAAAACACUACCAUGGCAGCGUUUCUGAACUACUGCAGCGGCUACUGUGUGUGUGCGCCAUGUGGCGCAAUGCUAAUGGACAAAGUCGGUUCACUUCAGAGCUUAUAUAGAGAACGAUCGAGCUCUAGGCAAAACCGGUUCGGUGGAAAAUAAAAUAAAUAACAAUAUAACCUGUGUCGUCUAACCCGGAUCGGACGGUCGGGAUGCUCCCCGGUUAACAGGGGCAAGGUGGCUGCCGCAGUUGGAGAAGCAGGGUGCGGCCGACUCGGUGGUGACGACGGCGACGAGUGGAGCGGGUGACCGCCGAUCCAGGAGUAACGGGAGGAGGGACGACAUGCGUACCGAGAUGGCGAACUCGGGAACGCCUUCAUGGAUGACCGGGGCUUGCUCCCGCGACGAGACGACACGGCUGGGGCGGCGACAUCGGAAUUGAACUUCGGGUCGAGGUCAACGUGCUCGCUAUGGUGCUCCCGUGCGCAAAAUAGAAGGUGAUGGAGAGAGAGCAGAUCAUGUUGGAUCGAAUCGGCGCAAGAGGAGGUGUUGGGAACCUCGGGUGGAGACGGAAUCACCUGGGGACGAAGCUUCCCUACGGCGGACUCCGACGAGAUCGGGUGGAAACUCUAGGGCACGGGAGUCUUCAAUUUUGCCAAAAAUCGGUCUACUAAGAGGUGGAGAUUACUUAUAAGGACGAUUACGUGGUCGAUGGGGAAUAGAUCGAUCAAAUCGAUCGAUUUUUUAUCGGGAACUAUCUCCACAAAGAAAAAUGGCACAACGGGGAAGACGACAUGUGGACCAGAGAAGUCAGCGGGACACAGGAGGGAAAGAAAAGAAGAAAAAACGUUGUGGUGGGCUCUUG
rnacentral:lncRNA from 1 species